rnacentral:rRNA from 1 species
GAUGAACGCUGGCGGCGUGCCUAAUACAUGCAAGUCGAGCGAACAGACGAGGAGCUUGCUCCUCUGACGUUAGCGGCGGACGGGUGAGUAACACGUGGAUAACCUACCUAUAAGACUGGGAUAACUUCGGGAAACCGGAGCUAAUACCGGAUAAUAUAUUGAACCGCAUGGUUCAAUAGUGAAAGACGGUUUUGCUGUCACUUAUAGAUGGAUCCGCGCCGCAUUAGCUAGUUGGUAAGGUAACGGCUUACCAAGGCAACGAUGCGUAGCCGACCUGAGAGGGUGAUCGGCCACACUGGAACUGAGACACGGUCCAGACUCCUACGGGAGGCAGCAGUAGGGAAUCUUCCGCAGUGGGCGAAAGCCUGACGGAGCAACGCCGCGUGAGUGAUGAAGGUCUUCGGAUCGUAAAACUCUGUUAUAGGGAAGAACAAAUGUGUAAGUAACUAUGCACGUCUUGACGGUACCUAAUCAGAAAGCCACGGCUAACUACGUG